GACGAACGCUGGCGGCGUGCUUAACACAUGCAAGUCGAACGGAAAGGCCCUGCUUCUGUGGGGUGCUCGAGUGGCGAACGGGUGAGUAACACGUGAGUAACCUGCCCUCGACUUUGGGAUAACUUCAGGAAACUGGGGUUAAUACCGGCUAGGAGCUCCUGCUGCAUGGUGGGGGUUGGAAAGUUUCGGCGGUUGGGGAUGGACUCGCGGCUUAUCAGCUUGUUGGUGGGGUAGUGGCUUACCAAGGCUUUGACGGGUAGCCGGCCUGAGAGGGUGACCGGCCACAUUGGGACUGAGAUACGGCCCAGACUCCUACGGGAGGCAGCAGUGGGGAAUAUUGCACAAUGGGCGGAGGCCUGAUGCAGCAACGCCGCGUGCGGGAUGACGGCUUUCGGGUUGUAAACCGCUUUCGCCUGUGACGAAGCGUGAGUGACGGUAAUGGGUAAAGAAGCACCGGCUAACUACGUG
rnacentral:rRNA from 1 species